CAUCAUUUUCAGCUAACAAAAGAGGAGACUUGCUAAACUCAAGCUGUUAAGUUAUACGACAUUGAUGCUGAUGAUUUAGCAGAACCAUCAUGUCUACAGACUGCACAAGGCCAGAAACCACACCACCAUGCACCUUCUGCAGUCCUGUCCAGAGGAGCAGCCAUAUGUAUAUGACCUAUGCAACCUGGUGUUUGUACUGGACCGUAAACAUUGGACAUCACUAAUGAAGGACACCAUCAGCAGGUUGUUAAGUAAGC